CAGUCGAGCGAUGACGAGAAGCGUUGCGUUCUCUGAUUUAGCGGCGGACGGGUGAGUAACACGUGGGCAACCUGCCCUACAGAUCGGGAUAACUCAGGGAAACCUGGGCUAAUACCGGAUAAUCCUUCGAAAUCGCAUGUUUUGAAGUUGAAAGGCGCUUCGGCGUCACUGUAGGAUGGGCCCGCGGUGCAUUAGCCUAGUUGGUGGGGUAACGGCCUACCAAGGCAACGAUGCAUAGCCGACCUGAGAGGGUGAUCGGCCACAUUGGGACUGAGACACGGCCCAAACUCCUACGGGAGGCAGCAGUAGGGAAUCUUCCACAAUGGACGAAAGUCUGAUGGAGCAACGCCGCGUGAGUGAUGAAGGUUUUCGGAUCGUAAAACUCUGUUGUAAGGGAAGAACAAGUACGUUAGGAAAUGAACGUACCUUGACGGUACCUUAUUAGAAAGCCACGGCUAACUACGUGCCAGCAGCCGCGGUAAUACGUAGGUGGCAAGCGUUGUCCGGAUUUAUUGGGCGUAAAGCGCGCGCAGGUGGUUUCUUAAGUCUGAUGUGAAAGCCCACGGCUCAACCGUGGAGGGUCAUUGGAAACUGGGGAACUUGAGUGCAGAAGAGGAUAGUGGAAUUCCAAGUGUAGCGGUGAAAUGCGUAGAGAUUUGGAGGAACACCAGUGGCGAAGGCGACUGUCUGGUCUGUAACUGACACUGAGGCGCGAAAGCGUGGGGAGCAAACAGGAUUAGAUACCCUGGUAGUCCACGCCGUAAACGAUGAGUGCUAAGUGUUAGGGGGUUUCCGCCCCUUAGUGCUGCAGCUAACGCAUUAAGCACUCCGCCUGGGGAGUACGACCGCAAGGUUGAAACUCAAAGGAAUUGACGGGGGCCCGCACAAGCGGUGGAGCAUGUGGUUUAAUUCGAAGCAACGCGAAGAACCUUACCAGGUCUUGACAUCCCAAUGACCGUUCUAGAGAUAGGAUUUUCCCUUCGGGGACAUUGGUGACAGGUGGUGCAUGGUUGUCGUCAGCUCGUGUCGUGAGAUGUUGGGUUAAGUCCCGCAACGAGCGCAACCCUUAUUCUUAGUUGCCAUCAUUUAGUUGGGCACUCUAAGGAGACUGCCGGUGACAAACCGGAGGAAGGUGGGGAUGACGUCAAAUCAUCAUGCCCCUUAUGACCUGGGCUACACACGUGCUACAAUGGACGAUACAAAGAGUCGCAAACUCGCGAGGGUAAGCUAAUCUCAUAAAAUCGUUCUCAG
rnacentral:rRNA from 1 species